ensembl:snRNA U1 U1 spliceosomal RNA
AUACUUACUGGGUAGAAGAGGCACCAUGAUCAGGCAGAUGGUUUUCCCAGGACUAGGCUCAUCCCCUGCAUUCCAGGUGUGCUGACUCCUUUAUAACUCAAUGUCAUUAGAGUACAUUGUGC